rnacentral:antisense_RNA from 1 species
AUGGACAUGGCACCCACAUUGGCACCCUCUGGUUUUGUCCCCACAGGAGUCCUGCCUCCCAGCACCCCUCUGUCAUGGUGAUCAAGACGGCUAGGGGGCAGGGAAGGCAAGAAGAGGGAGAAGACUCUGCUGUGACUCAUAGCAAAGUGAGAGCUUCUUCCCUCCUCUCUGCACCCCAAAUACGGCUGCAUUAGAACUAAGCAAGCUAUUGAUACCACACUGACCUAAAAAUAGCAAAUGGCGAAGUCACUGGCCUACGAGGCUGGAGAAUCUUAACACCAGGUGGCCCAGGGCAUACCCAGAGCUUCUGGCAACCGAAAUCUGGAAAAAGUGGUAACAGUUCCAUCUGGUCAAAUGACAAAAGCCUAAAUUUGUAUCAAGUAGUGGCUGAUAACAGUCAAUUUCUACCUAGAAGGCACUACGUUGGAUCUAGGUGUUCAGGGUUCUUUAAGUCAUGCUCUGAAUGAAUAAGCAAUGAUUCCAAAGUAUGUGAAGCUAGCCUCACAGUUUGAAGUCCUUGAAAUCACAUUUUCCAAACAGCUUCAAAUGAAGAACAAGCUCAUACAAACUCAAGAGUGCUUGAUCGAUGAGCAACUCCAGCAAGUGAAGACAUCACAGUCUGGGGCAGUGCACGGCUGACCCCUUUACCUGUUGAACUAGCUGCUUUGGCCCUUGUUUCAAGGGAAAAGGGCUCUAGAGGAAUUGGGGGUUUGGUCCUCUUAAGGUCUGAGGUCUUUGGGUCUCUGGGUUUGGUCAGGCCCUUAGGGACUGUGGGCUUAGGCUGAGCAAGGGUAGCCUUGGGACAUGUCUCAAACUCUGGUGAAGUCAAGAAAGGCCACAGAGUGGAAAAUCCAGAAUCUACAUCCCAUUCGUGCCAGAGCCCUGUUCCAUCCACUCUCUGAGCAGAUGUCCCCCUACGAAGGCCCAAGGGACUCCUGAAAAGCAGGCAUGAAUAGACCACAGAGUUAAACAGUGCAAGGGCAUGCUGUGGACCCACCCACUUUGGGUAAAUCUUUUGACUUCUCUGUGAAUCAGAAAAUCAAUGGGAUAGACUAUGCCUCACAGGGCCACCCUAGGGAUCGAAUAAGAUGACGGAUACCAAAGUGCUUCAUUAACAAUAAAGUGCCAAAAAGAGUUA